GGACAGCAACACAUGAGAAAGCCUCGCUGGCAGAGGCGGACAUGCCGCCCUGUAUAUUUACCAGAAAUGCGGAUAAAAUCGCUUGUAGCGCAUCUUCUUUCUCAUCAUCACUUUCCUCCUCCUGCAGAACCCCUAAAAUGUAGGCCCCAUAAACCUCUCGGUCCACUUCUAGAGAGUCCAGACGAUCAUUAAGCCAUCUUUCAAACUCCCCGGCGUCUGUCACGGGCGCAGCCAUCUUGGCCCUAUGGGGUCUUUCCGACGGUGCAUGGUAGUCCUUUGUCAAUGCCUGUCAAAAAAGUGUAAACUAGAUGACCUCAUCUCCCCAACUUCUCGACAUGAUGGACAUCAGGCGAAGGACAAGUUGCUAACAGGCUGUGAUUCUGCGCUGAACUGGUCACACCUUCAGUCCAGCUGCGCCUGCUGCCUCGAGUGUCACUGCGGCGGACGCCAUUUUACCUGAGGUCCGAGCAGCCCAGCGAUGUCCUAAAGUUACCAGGACGGCAGGAAGAAUUGUGAAAGAAGUUUAAUGUGAGGAAGAAGAGCCUUCGUCACUUAUCACCUCUUUGAGAUGAAAGGCCCCGAAAGCAGCCAGCCACACCUGCAAAACAGAUCUCAGCUGUUAUAGGAAGUGUUUGACAGGAGUGGCAGGUAAUGCCUGCUAAAUGAAGAUGGAGACAAGCCCUACACCCAAAGAUCCUCUCCUCUCCAUCUACUGUCUGCAGUGGGGCUCUUGAGGACGUUGUUCACACCGAAGCACAUCCAUCUUGUUUUUAUCCGAAAUUACUCGCCGUCUUUGAUUCUCACUGCCUGUGUAAAUUAAGUGGGAGUGAGCAGGCGGGAAAGCGGUGGGCUGAUGGAUGUUAUUGGAGGUGUUGCAUUGAUAAUCAGACACAACAAGAUACUGGGUGAGAGGAGGUGAGAGAUAGAGGCAGGAAUAGGUAGAACGAUAGUGAUGUCUCU